AGUGAACGCUGGCGGCGUGCUUAACACAUGCAAGUCGAACGAGAACGGAUUAUAGCUUGCUGUAAUUGUCAGCUAAGUGGCGCACGGGUGAGUAAUGUAUAGGUAAUAUGCCUCUUACUAAGGGAUAACAAAUGGAAACGUUUGCUAAUACCUUAUACUCCUUAUUAACAGAAGUUAAUAAGGGAAAGAUUUAUUGGUAAGAGAUUAGCCUGUAUUGUAUCAGUUAGUUGGUGGGGUAAUGGCUUACCAAGACUAUGACACAUAACUGGUUUGAGAGGAUGAUCAGUCACACUGGAACUGAGACACGGUCCAGACUCCUACGGGAGGCAGCAGUGGGGAAUAUUGCACAAUGGACGAAAGUCUGAUGCAGCAACGCCGCGUGGAGGAUGACACAUUUCGGUGCGUAAACUCCUUUUAUACGAGAAGAUAAUGACGGUAUUAUAUGAAUAAGCACCGGCUAACUCCGUGCCAGCCGCCGCGGUAA
rnacentral:rRNA from 1 species